GGAAGUUACAAUUGGUCCAAUGUUCGGCUGCCAGAUUAAUAACGUGGGCGAGUUACAGGGAGAGAUCUACUCCCUUGUUCAAGGAGCUCCACUGGCUGCCGUUCAUCUUCCGGUCCCAAUUCAAGGGGAGGCCCUCCUGUCGCCACUGCCUAUAUCUCAGGCCCGCCUUGUGGGAACAAGGGAGAGGGCCUUUUCUGCUGUGGCCCCCCGCUUGUGGAACUCACUGCCCAUUGAAAUCAGGCAAGCCCCCACCCUUUUAGCCUUCAGGAAAGAUUUAAAAACAUGGCUCUUCCGGUGUGCUUUCGGAGAGGAAAUGUUCCUUUGCUACUCCCCCCAACAUUUAUCCUCUAGACUGUUUCACUAUCUGACAUCCCUGUCCCCCGAGGUUUUUAUUCUAAUCCCUUUCUCACCCAGAGUUUUAAUUUAAUGUUCAUGCGGCCCGCCCUUGUUAUACUGCUGUUUUGAUCUUAUGUUGUACUGUUUAUUUUUAUUUAUUGUAUUAUUUAAUUGUAUUAUGACAUGGUUAUAUUGUAUUGUCCUGGGCAUGGCCCCAUGUAAUCCGCCCCGAGUCCCUGUUGGGGAGAUGGUGGCGGGGUAUAAAUAAAGUUUUAUUAUUAUUAUUAUUAUUAUUAUUAUUAUUAUUAUUAUAGCAAUUUGUGUUCAAGCUUUUAACUCCAGCAUUAACACAGUCAUAAGUACAGAGUAAGCAGUUAAACACACUCUUUCCAGAAUCCAAGAUGAUUCACAUUGUAAUAGUUUGGUCUGAAAAUCGAUACCCUUAGAAGGUGUGACAACUUCUAGAAUCUGGACCCAAAGUACCUCAGGGCUAUGGUUCAAAUCUUCAAAAUGCAUGUAAAAAAUAGAAUCAAUAGAAUGAUUUCUGAUCUUACUUUUAUGUUCUAAAAUUCAAAGUUUUAUUUCCCUACCUGUCUGGCCAAUAUACAUUAACGGAUACUAUACAUUAAUGUCUUCACAUUCACCAACAGAAAAAAGAAUAAUUAAUGCACAGUGUAGUGCUGAGUCACCCCUUGAUACCCUAUUUCCUGGCCAGAGCCUUUGGCGAUAGGAAAAUGUAAAGUAAAAUGAA
rnacentral:lncRNA from 1 species